ensembl:lncRNA
UAUAUAUUUAUUUUGAGUUCUGCUUUUCCCCUUCUCCAGCAGGCCUUCCUCACUGCCCCGGCCCGGCCCUGGCACAACGAAGCGGCCCCCAGCCCCCGCCUCGUGCCCGUCGUGUACGAGCUCUGCCGGCGACAUCGGGGCCCUGUCCGCGUGGGCGGCCCUGGGGAGCAGCAGUGGGGACCUGCCCUGCUCCCAGGACUGCUCCUGGAUGCUCUGCCAUAGUGCAGAGCCCCCGGGGUCUCGCUGGCGGCAUCCUGCUCCCCGUCACCGCUGCCCGGCGCUUCCAGGCACCUCGUUUGGCCACGUGGUGCACAUUGCUUCCACGCUUCCAUUCUGAACCUCCUGCUGCGUCCCAAGGACGGCUGCCCCCUUCAUCCUCGCUUCUGAAAUGCUCCUUUGCCCAUGGCUACGUUCCCCUGUCCCCAGAGCCACCUCUCGUGGAUCCCGCAUCCCUAAUUCUCAGUAGUACCACUGCUUCCCCAAAUCCCACUUUGCUGCAGCAGGUCUGGGCAAUCCCCAGCAUGUGGUCACACCUUUGCUAGAUCCCUUUUCCAAACUCCAUACUCUUCUGUGCCUUCUUUGCAGAUGCCAUGGAUCUGCCCCGGCAAGACCUUCCCCCACUAUGCUUUUGAAUAACGUUGCUUUUGUAUGGCGAUGUUUGCCUUCAUCCCCACUUCUGCACAUCCCUCAUCUGCUGCUGUUGUAUUCCCAAGCUUGGAGGCUUGCGAGUCAGUGAGAAGAGAGAACAAGAGACACCUGCAGAGAAUGAUUCAUUCUGUGCCUGUUCGACACCGCUCUGGAUGGAACAAGUCUCCUUGCUGGGUGUUGUCUCUCCCCAUCAAUUCUCAGCAGAAGCUAGACAACCAGUUCUGACCAGAAGCCUGACUUACGGGUGCCACGUGAGAUGAAUUGUACCACAGAUGACUAAUUUUUCUCAUUCAUCAUACCUGCUUUUGGCCUAUAGAAGUUGGGGUAGUGGAGGGGAAUCGUGUGCCAUAUCUUCCUGCUUUCCAAUCCAAGAUGCCAAAGUCUACCGGAGCACACAGUUGACUAGUAUAAAAUGAUACAUGCAGACCAGAAGUGGAAUACAUAUUGAUCAGAAGUUGAGUACGUGCUGACAAACCACCUCAAAAAAAACACAGUAACUCAGUUGGCUGGAUCCAUAUGGAGCUGAUGAACCUCUGAAUGAAUAGUGAAUGGAAAAACUGCUGGAAUCUGCCUUCAGCUUUGUUCCCAGGAUGACCAAUGUAAAAGGCCUAAGAGCAAUACUGCACAGAUGGUGUAAAGAGGUUUAUGAGCAAGCAAGAAGUAAAGUGGAAUCAACAGGGAUGUUGUGAAUGGCUUUUGUAGUCCUGCUGUCACUGGGGAAUCAUGCACGUCUGCCGGUCCUGAAGCAUUUCUUGGUUGUUUAUGAGGGCUGAAAUCACCUCCUUUCAAAUUUACCUUUUGGACUCUGCACCACUGUGGUUAGCACCGGGCUGUAUAUCUGAGCUGAAAGACAACACCUCCAGCAAUACCGUGUCCUUGGCACUGUGUGGCUUCAGGUCUGACUCAGAUGGAUAAACGCCUUUGGAGGAGUGACUUGAAGUGUAAACCACACUAUCUGCUUUUAAUCUUGGAUUCUUUCCAGCUCCAGAUUUCACAUCUCUGUUACAGGCCAACAAACAGCCCUGGGAUCCAAAAAAAUACCUUUGCAACCACGCUCUAAUAAAUAAAUCUCUUUCUAUUGAUACAUACCUCUGAUAACUUCUACUGCACAGUGAAUACAUUGAUGGAUGUAUAUUAAGUGGAAA